GCCUCGGUGGUGUGGUGGUAGAGCAUGCGUCUCCGGAUUGGAUAAAACGCGGGUUCGCUUUCCGCCUGAGGCC